rnacentral:tRNA from 1 species
UCCUUCGUGGCUCAGUUGGUAAAGCAUCUGCCUGAAAUGCAGAAGACCUAGGUUCGAUCCCUCAUUUAGGAA